rnacentral:lncRNA from 1 species
GAUGGAAAAGGAACAAUUAAAUUUAAUGAUAGCACAGAAAAAGAGUUGACACGCUAGGGGAGAAAUUGAUUAUAGUUAAUGAUGGAUGUCCAAUCCACAAAUCAACACACUGCUCGAGGAAAUCUCAAGGGUUUAUCUCUUGAUUUCUACUAGACAGAUGUCUAGAAGAUCCAAAGUCAGACGCAAGAGAAAACCACAUAUUGAUUUAUCUGAUCUUCAGGAAUACCAAGAGAUUGGAUCCUGAGGAUAUCUGAUUCAGAUGACUUCUAACUGGUAGAAAUAUCAGAGUCAGAUCCAGACA